rnacentral:rRNA from 1 species
UUCGCAAUGCCCGAAAGGGUGACGAAGCGACGCCGCGUGUGGGAAGAAGGCCUUCGGGUCGUAAACCACUGUCGGGAGUUAAGAAAUGCAAGGGUGCUAAUAGUAUCCUUGCUUGACUAAGGCUCCGGAGGAAGCUACGGCUAACUCUGUGCCAGCAGCCGCGGUAAUACAGAGGCGGCAAGCGUUGUUCGGAAUUAUUGGGCGUAAAGAGCACGUAGGCGGCUAUGUAAGUCGGUUGUGAAAGCCUUCCGCUCAACGGAAGAACAGCAUCCGAUACUGCAUGGCUUGAGUGCGGGAGGGGAGAGUGGAACUUCUGGUGGAGCGGUGAAAUGCGUAGAUAUCAGAAGGAACGCCGGCGGCGAAAGCGGCUCUCUGGCCCAUAACUGACGCUGAGUGUGCGAAAGCUAGGGGAGCAAACGGGAUUAGAUACCCCGGUAGUCCUAGCCGUAAACGAUGGGCACUAAGUAGAGGGGUUUU